rnacentral:misc_RNA from 1 species
CGCGGCCCGGGAAAGUCGCCUGAGUGCGGCU